CAUAAAACUAAUACUGUACUAAAGAACAAACAAGAAAAGAAGAAACCUUUUACUUCUGUUUCCCAGUUGCCGGAAGAUCAACAAUUGGACGACGAAACAUUGAAACGAGGGAUUUUCAUUAGUUCAGUUUGUGAUGGAGAUCACAGUAGCUUCUAAAUUUUAACUUGUAAUCAAAUUGAGGAGGAGGAUUGUAGCUGU